GAUGAAGAACGCAGCGAAAUGCGAUAAGUAAUGUGAAUUGCAGAAUUCAGUGAAUCAUCGAAUCUUUGAACGCACAUUGCGCCCGCCAGUAUUCUGGCGGGCAUGCCUGUUCGAGCGUCAUUACAACCCUCAGGCCCCCGGGCCUGGCGUUGGGGAUCGGCGGAAGCCCCCUGCGGGCACAACGCCGUCCCCCAAAUACAGUGGCGGUCCCGCCGCAGCUUCCAUUGCGUAGUAGCUAACACCUCGCAACUGGAGAGCGGCGCGGCCACGCCGUAAAACACCCAACUUCUGAAUGUUGACCUCGAAUCAGGUAGGAAUACCCGCUGAACUUAAGCAUAACAAUAAGCGGAGGA
rnacentral:misc_RNA from 1 species